rnacentral:lncRNA from 1 species
UGGCGGAUCAGUUAGUAGAAAAAGUGAAAUCACUGUUUUUUUGUGGAACUUUUGUGUAAGCUUUUAUUUGAUAAAAAAAUUGCUGAAUUAUAAGUUACAAAUUAUUAGUAUCGAUGAAUAUUUCAUAACUAAUUACGUAACACUAACAAGUUUGGUAAUAACGUAAAUGAAAUUUUAGAGAAAUAAAUGUUUUCGAAAUAUUUGCAAAAGAACUGUCGAUACUACCACAGUGAAUUCUAUCUAUUAGUGAGGUGCUUGAUAUACCGAUAAUAAUUACUGUCAGCUAUUUUCAUAACUGUGACACGAAUCCCAAAAGGAUGUUUAUAAAAAGUCUCUAAAAAAUGGUUUUAUAAUCCCGUAGAAGAAGAUGCAAUAUUCGUCUCUUCAACGUAUUAUGUUGUGUUGCAUUUCCCUUGAAGACGUAGGAGACAGACAGACAGAGGUGGCAAGGCGAGCAAAAUGUAAGAGAGAGAGAUAGGAUGAGAGACCGCGAAUGCGGUAUGGAACAAGGUUGUGUAGAGGGUGGAGAGAAGGUAGUGUCCAGUUAUUGACCGGUGGCGGAAGGAGAGUGUCUCAACCGACUGCGACGCUUUCUCUCGCUAUUCUGAAACCAUCCUGAUCCGCGAGCCAAACAAACGAACGCUUCUGCCAGGGUGUUUUGUCUACGAAAUGCGCAAAUUUCUGAAUCUAUUUGAAUAAUUUUCAAUUGAAAAUUCAACGAUUGAGAAGACUCUUCUUAAUACAUGUAUAUGUAUGUAGAUUUUCAAUUAACAAAUUUAAAAAUUCUAGUGGAGUAAGUGAAGAUUUGGAGAAUUUGAAUUUAGUCACGCGCGUAUUUUGAUUAUUAAAAGUAUUGUCCUUUUGAUUUUGUAAUUACAACAACUACAAAAUUUAUUUAUACAUACUCUUAAUUUCCAAUGACGCAUU